AAAUUGAAGAGUUUGAUCAUGGCUCAGAUUGAACGCUGGCGGCAGGCCUAACACAUGCAAGUCGAACGGUAACAGGAAGCAGCUUGCUGUUUCGCUGACGAGUGGCGGACGGGUGAGUAAUGUCUGGGAAACUGCCUGAUGGAGGGGGAUAACUACUGGAAACGGUAGCUAAUACCGCAUAACGUCGCAAGACCAAAGAGGGGGACCUUCGGGCCUCUUGCCAUCGGAUGUGCCCAGAUGGGAUUAGCUUGUUGGUGGGGUAACGGCUCACCAAGGCGACGAUCCCUAGCUGGUCUGAGAGGAUGACCAGCCACACUGGAACUGAGACACGGUCCAGACUCCUACGGGAGGCAGCAGUGGGGAAUAUUGCACAAUGGGCGCAAGCCUGAUGCAGCCAUGC
rnacentral:rRNA from 1 species